rnacentral:rRNA from 1 species
AUACGUAGGGAGCGAGCGUUGUCCGGAAUUACUGGGUGUAAAGAGAGCGUAGGCGGGAGUGCAAGUCAGAUGUGAAAUACAUGGGCUUACCCUAUGGGCUGCUUUUGAAACUGCAUUUCUUGAGUGAAGUAGAGGUAAGCGGCAUUCCUGGUGUAGCGGUGAAAUGCGUAGAUAUCAGGAGGAACACCGGUGGCGAAGGCGGCUUACUGGGCUUUUACUGACGCUGAGGCUCGAAAGCGUGGGGAGCAAACAGGAUUAGAUACCCUGGUAGUCCACGCUGUAAACGGUGACUACUAGGUGUGGGGGGACUGACCCCUUCCGUGCCGCAGUUAACACAAUAAGUAAUCCACCUGGGGAGUACGGCCGCAAGGUUGAAACUCAAAUGAAUUGACGGGG